GACGAACGCUGGCGGCGUGCUUAACACAUGCAAGUCGAACGGAAAGGCCCUGCUUUUGUGGGGUGCUCGAGUGGCGAACGGGUGAGUAACACGUGAGUAACCUGCCCUUGACUUUGGGAUAACUUCAGGAAACUGGGGCUAAUACCGGAUAGGAGCUCCUGCUGCAUGGUGGGGGUUGGAAAGUUUCGGCGGUUGGGGAUGGACUCGCGGCUUAUCAGCUUGUUGGUGGGGUAGUGGCUUACCAAGGCUUUGACGGGUAGCCGGCCUGAGAGGGUGACCGGCCACAUUGGGACUGAGAUACGGCCCAGACUCCUACGGGAGGGAGGAGUGGGGAAUUUUGCACAAUGGGCGGAAGCCUGAUGCAGCAACGCCGCGGGGGGGAUGGCGGCCUUCGGGUUGUAAACCGCUUUCGCCUGUGACGAAGCGUGAGUGACGGUAAUGGGAAAAGAAGCACCGGCUAACUACGU
rnacentral:rRNA from 1 species